GACAGAGGGUGCAAACGUUGUUCGGAUUUACUGGGCGUAAAGCGCGCGUAGGCGGUUUUGCAAGCCAGAGGUGGAAUGCCUGAGCUCAACUUAGGAAUUGCCUUUGGGACUGCGAGGCUUUGAGGACGGGAGAGGUGAGUGGAAUUCCCAGUGUAGAGGUGAAAUGCGUAGAGAUCCGGAGGAACACCAGCGGCGAAGGCGGCAUCCUGGCCCUGUACUGACGCUGAGGCGCGAUAGCGUGGGGAGCAAACGGG
rnacentral:rRNA from 1 species